GAGUUUGUGCCUAUAGAUUUGAGGAAGCUUCCAGCUAGGAAGACCGAGGUCUAUGGAGAAGCUGCUGACUCACACCCCGGAGAUGAACUCCUGGACUUUGCCAGGUAGGAAAACGCUGAGGUCACCUUAAGGUGCCCACUGAAGAGCCACCAGGGCAUGCAGGCGGGGUAGGGUGGGGGACAGGGUAUGCAUGUGUUCUUCUUCCUCUAUGUGGCUGCCCACAGAGCCUUCACCUGACCUUAUUUAGUCAAAGUGUGGCUCAAGGGGCAGGGAAGAGCCUGGUAUAGUUCCGGGUCAACCUAGGGCUCAAAACCACACAGCCUACCCCCAGCCAGGAUCAGUGACAGAUUUUUUUCUCUAAGGCCCUCUCCUUUUCCUUAUUUUUGCCUCCCCUCUCCCCCCUGCAAGGUAGAAAGGGGCCUACCUUGCAUGCAUGGGGUCUAUUGUUUCUUCUAGAUAGGGCCUGGCCCACUAGACUUUAGCCCUGUGCUGAUCCCAAUCCUUGCCCUCCCCUGCUCUGCCCCACCACCGAGGCAGCCUAGGUCUCCUUUCUGGGCUUAAAAGCUCAAAUUCUGAAGAAACUAAAUACCCUUUAAGAUUCAGACUUACCCACUAAGC
ensembl:antisense Igf2os insulin-like growth factor 2, opposite strand